rnacentral:rRNA from 1 species
AGAGUUUGAUCCUGGCUCAGGAUGAACGCUAGCGACAGGCCUAACACAUGCAAGUCGAGCGGGAUUCAGUAGCUUGCUACUGAUGAGAGCGGCGCACGGGUGCGUAACGCGUAUGCAACCUACCCUUUACAGGGGGAUAGCCCGGAGAAAUCCGGAUUAAUACCCCAUAGAUUUAUAAAUCUGCAUGGAUUUAUACAUAAAGUUACGGCGGUAAAGGAUGGGCAUGCGUAUGAUUAGCUAGUUGGUGAGGUAACGGCUCACCAAGGCAACGAUCAUUAGGGGUUCUGAGAGGAAGGUCCCCCACACUGGUACUGAGACACGGACCAGACUCCUACGGGAGGCAGCAGUGAGGAAUAUUGGUCAAUGGGCGCAAGCCUGAACCAGCCAUGUCGCGUGCAGGAUGACUGCCCUAUGGGUUGUAAACUGCUUUUUUUACGGGAAUAACCGCAUCAACGAGUUUGGUGUCUGCAAGUACCGUAGGAAUAAGGAUCGGCUAACUCCGUGCCAGCAGCCGCGGUAAUACGGAGGAUUCGAGCGUUAUCCGGAUUCAUUGGGUUUAAAGGGUGCGUAGGCGGAGGUUUAAGUCAGUGGUAAAAUCCUGCAGCUCAACUGUAGCAUUGCCAUUGAAACUGAAUUUCUUGAGUAUGGACGAGGCAGGCGGAAUGUGUAAUGUAGCGGUGAAAUGCAUAGAUAUUACACAGAACCCCGAUUGCGUAGGCAGCUUGCCAGACCAUUACUGACGCUGAUGCACGAAAGCGUGGGUAGCGAACAGGAUUAGAUACCCUGGUAGUCCACGCCGUAAACGAUGUUCACUAGCUGUAUGCAAUAUGACCGUAUGCGGCCGAGCGAAAGCAUUAAGUGAACCACCUGGGGAGUACGUUGGCAACAAUGAAACUCAAAGGAAUUGACGGGGGCCCGCACAAGCGGAGGAACAUGUGGUUUAAUUCGAUGAUACGCGAGGAACCUUACCUGGGCUUAAAUGUAGGUUGCAUAGAUCAGAGAUGGUCUUUUCUUCGGACUACUUACAAGGUGCUGCAUGGUUGUCGUCAGCUCGUGCCGUGAGGUGUCGGGUUAAGUCCCAUAACGAGCGCAACCCCUGCCGUUAGUUGCCAUCAGGUUAAGCUGGGCACUCUAGCGGGACUGCCGGUGUAAACCGCGAGGAAGGUGGGGAUGACGUCAAAUCAGCACGGCCCUUACGUCCAGGGCUACACACGUGUUACAAUGGCCGGUACAGAGGGCAGCUACAUAGCAAUAUGAUGCGAAUCUCGAAAGCCGGUCUCAGUUCGGAUUGGAGUCUGCAACCCGACUCCAUGAAGUUGGAUUCGCUAGUAAUCGCGCAUCAGCCACGGCGCGGUGAAUACGUUCCCGGGCCUUGUACACACCGCCCGUCAAACCAUGGAAGCUGGGGGUACCUGAAGUACGUUACCGCAAGGAUCGUC